rnacentral:rRNA from 1 species
CGGUAAAACCAGCACCUCAAGUGGUCAGGAGGAUUAUUGGGCCUAAAGCAUCCGUAGCCGGCUCUGUAAGUUUUCGGUUAAAUCCAUGUGCUCAACGCAUGGGCUGCCGAAAAUACUGCAUAGCUAGGGAGUGGGAGAGGUAGACGGUACUCGGUAGGAAGGGGUAAAAUCCUUUGAUCUAUCGAUGACCACCUGUGGCGAAGGCGGUCUACCAGAACACGUUCGACGGUGAGGGAUGAAAGCUGGGGGAGCAAACCGGAUUAGAUACCCGGGUAGUCCCAGCUGUAAACGAUGCAGACUCGAUGAUGCAUUGGCAUAUGGCCAGUGCAGUGUCGCAGGGAAGCCGUUAAGUCUGCCGCCUGGGAAGUACGUACGCAAGUAUGAAACUUAAAGGAAUUGGCGGGGGAGCACCACAAGGGGUGAAGCCUGCGGUUCAAUUGGAGUCAACGCCAGAAAUCUUACCCGGAGAGACAGCAGAAUGAAGGUCAAGCUGAAGACUUUACCAGACAAGCUGAGAGGUGGUGCAUGGCCGUCGCCAGCUCGUGUCGUGAGAUGUCCUGUUAAGUCAGGUAACGAGCGAGAUCCUCGCCACUAGUUGCUAUCAUUAUUCUCAGGAAUAGUGGGGCGAAUUAGUGGGACUGCCGUUGUUAAAACGGAGGAAGGAGGGGGCUACGGCAGGUCAGUAUGCCCCGAAACUCUGGGGCCACACGCGGGCUGCAAUGGUAGCGACAAUGAGCUCCAAACUCGAAAGAGAGUGGCAAUCUCUAAACGCUACCACAGUUAUGACUGAGGGCUGUAACUCGCCCUCACGAAUAUGGAAUCCCUAGUAACCGCGUGUCAUUACCGCGCGGUGAAUACGUCCCUGCUCC